UACGUAGGGGGCAAGCGUUGUCCGGAUUUACUGGGCGUAAAGAGCGUGUAGGCGGCCACGCAGGUCCGUUGUGAAAACUGGAGGCUCAACCUCCAGCUGUCGACGGAAACCGUGUGGCUAGAGUCCGGAAGAGGAGAGUGGAAUUCCUGGUGUAGCGGUGAAAUGCGCAGAUAUCAGGAAGAACACCAAUGGCGAAGGCAGGUCUCUGGGCUGACACUGACGCUCAUGCACGAAAGCGUGGGGAGCAAACAGG
rnacentral:rRNA from 1 species